rnacentral:tRNA from 1 species
GCCUUCGUGGUGUAGUAGUCAGCACGCUCGACGCGUAUUCGAGAGGUCCGUGGUUCGACUCCCAGCGAGGGAA